rnacentral:rRNA from 1 species
GACGUAGGGCGCGAGCGUUGUCCGGAUUUAUUGGGCGUAAAGAGCUCGUAGGCGGCUUGUCGCGUCGUCCGUGAAAACUUGUGGCUUAACCACAGGCUGGCGGUCGAUACGGGCAGGCUGGAGUUCGGUAGGGGAGACUGGAAUUCCUGGUGUAGCGGUGAAAUGCGCAGAUAUCAGGAGGAACACCGGUGGCGAAGGCGGAUCUCUGGGCCGAUACUGACGCUGAGGAGCGAAAGCGUGGGGAGCGAACAGG